AGAAUCAACGCUGGCGGCGUGCCUAACACAUGCAAGUCGAACGCGAAAGUCCCGCAAGGGGCAAGUAGAGUGGCAAACGGGUGAGUAACGCGUGGGCGACCUACCUUCGAGUGGGGGAUAACCUUCCGAAAGGAGGGCUAAUACCGCAUGACAUCCCGUGUUUGGAUACACGGACAUCAAAGCGGGGUCGCAAGAUCUCGCGCUACCGGAUGGGCCCGCGCCCGAUUAGCUAGUUGGUGAGGUAAUGGCUCACCAAGGCGACGAUC
rnacentral:rRNA from 1 species